UACGAAGGGGGCUAGCGUUGCUCGGAAUGACUGGGCGUAAAGGGCGCGUAGGCGGUUUGUACAGUCAGAUGUGAAAUUCCUGGGCUCAACCUGGGGGCUGCAUUUGAUACGUGCGGACUAGAGUGGGGAAGAGGGUCGUGGAAUUCCCCAGUGUAGAGGUGAAAUUCGUAGAUAUUGGGAAGAACACCGGUGGCGAAGGCGGCGACCUGGUCCUUGACUGACGCUGAGGCGCGAAAGCGUGGGGAGCAAACAGG
rnacentral:rRNA from 1 species